rnacentral:rRNA from 1 species
UACGUAGGGGGCUAGCGUUGUCCGGAUUUAUUGGGCGUAAAGCGCUCGUAGGCGGUCUGUCGCGUCUGCUGUGAAAACUCAGGGCUUAACCCUGAGCUUGCAGUGGGUACGGGCAGACUAGAGUGCGGUAGGGGAGACUGGAAUUCCUGGUGUAGCGGUGAAAUGCGCAGAUAUCAGGAGGAACACCGGUGGCGAAGGCGGAUCUCUGGGCCGUAACUGACGCUGAGGAGCGAAAGCAUGGGGAGCGAACAGG